GUUCAAAUAGUUUAAAAAAAAUGUUGGUUUGUGGGGCCAAAGAUGUUGAAAAUAGCUUUGGGCA
rnacentral:tRNA from 1 species